rnacentral:rRNA from 1 species
AUUGAACGCUGGCGGCAUGCCUUACACAUGCAAGUCGAACGGUAACGCGGGGCAACCUGGCGACGAGUGGCGAACGGGUGAGUAAAGCAUCGGAACGUGCCCAGUAGUGGGGGAUAGCCCGGCGAAAGCCGGAUUAAUACCGCAUACGACCUAUGGGUGAAAGGGGGGGAUCGCAAGACCUCUCGCUAUUGGAGCGGCCGAUGUCAGAUUAGGUAGUUGGUGGGGUAAAGGCCUACCAAGCCGACGAUCUGUAGCUGGUCUGAGAGGACGACCAGCCACACUGGGACUGAGACACGGCCCAGACUCCUACGGGAGGCAGCAGUGGGGAAUUUUGGACAAUGGGCGCAAGCCUGAUCCAGCCUUGCCGCGUGCGGGAAGAAGGCCUUCGGGUUGUAAACCGCUUUUGUCAGGGAAGAAAUCCUUUGGGUUAAUACCUCGGGGGGACGACGGUACCUGAAGAAUAAGCACCGGCUAACUACGUGCCAGCAGCCGCCGCAGUAA